rnacentral:rRNA from 1 species
CCCUUAGAUGUUCUGGGCCGCACGCGCGCUACACUGAUGCAUUCAACGAGUUUUUCCUGGUCCGAGAGGAAUGGGUAACCUUUUGAAAGUGCAUCGUGCUAGGGAUAGACUAUUGCAAUUAUUGGUCUUCAACGAGGAAUUCCUAGUAGACGUAGUUCAUCAGACUGCAUCGAUUACGUCCCUGCCCUUUGUACACACCGCCCGUCGCACCUACCGAUUGAAUGGUCCGGUGAAAUCUUCGGAUUGAGACUUUGAUUUCUUCACGGAAAACGCUGUUUUAAAAAGUUGAUUAAACCUUACCAUUUAGAGGAAGGUGAAGUCGUAACA